GACGAACGCUGGCGGCGUGCUUAACACAUGCAAGUCGAACGGAAAGGCCCUGCUUUUGUGGGGUGCUCGAGUGGCGAAAGGGUGAGUAACACGUGAGUAACCUGCCCUUGACUUUGGGAUAACUUCAGGAAACUGGGGCUAAUACCGGAUAGGAGCUCCUGCUGCAUGGUGGGGGUUGGAAAGUUUCGGCGGUUGGGGAUGGACUCGCGGCUUAUCAGCUUGUUGGUGGGGUAGUGGCUUACCAAGGCUUUGACGGGUAGCCGGCCUGAGAGGGUGACCGGCCACAUUGGGACUGAGAUACGGCCCAGACUCCUACGGGAGGCAGCAGUGGGGAAUAUUGCACAAUGGGCGGAAGCCUGAUGCAGCAACGCCGCGUGCGGAAUGACGGCCUUCGGGUUGUAAACCGCUUUCGCCUGUGACGAAGCGUGAGUGACGGUAAUGGGUAAAGAAGCACCGGCUAACUACGUG
rnacentral:rRNA from 1 species